AUACAGAAUACUUACAAGCAUGGCACAUCAGAGAUGACUGCAUUUCAGUGGUGAAAGAAGUGAUGUGUGUGUGUGUAUGCAUAUCAGUUGUCUUAAAAGAGCUUUGGAGCCUUUAGGAGUAAAGGGGCUCCACUACUAAACCUGAAAAAUAUUGGCAGAAUCACAGGAAGACAGAACCAUACAAACAGAUGUCCAAUGGAGCUGUUCUACCGGGAACUUCUCCUGGCCACAGCUGAUCAGGGAUUCCUUUAGAGAGAGAUUUCCAUCAUGCAGGACACACUGUGGGAAGGGAGAUCCUGACCUCAUGAAAGGCAUGCUACAAAGCAAUAAAAGGAAGGGAGAUUGCAGAGGAAGG